AUUGAACGCUGGCGGCAGGCCUAACACAUGCAAGUCGAACGAGUGGCGGACGGGUGAGUAAUGUCUGGGAAACUGCCUGAUGGAGGGGGAUAACUACUGGAAACGGUAGCUAAUACCGCAUACCAUCAGAUGUUCCCUGAUGGGAUUCGCUAGUUGGUGGGGUAACGGCUCACCAAGGCAACGAUCCCUAGCUGGUCUGAGAGGUGGACCGGCCACACUGGAACUGAGACACGGUCCAGACUCCUACGGGAGGCAGCAGUGGGGAAUAUUGCGCAAUGGGCGCAAGCCUGAUGCAGCCAUGCCGCGUGUAUGAAGAAGGCCUUCGGAUUGUAAAGUUCUUUCAGCAGGGAGGCGUUACCCACAGAAAAAGCACCGGCUAACUCCGUGCCAGCAGCCGCGGUAAUAC
rnacentral:rRNA from 1 species